rnacentral:lncRNA from 1 species
CCAGCCAUCUGUCCAUGGGGAAGCUACCUCAGGGCUCCUGGGAGCUCCACCACUGGAAAUCGUUUCUGAGCAGACCUCAUGCAAGCCCCCCUCUCUGAAUUUCCUAGGGAAUUUCAAAGGACUUUUAUUUGUUUGGGGGGGGCGGCAGUGGGAGGAGCUGUGUUAAGUCUUUGGAAUGAGUAUGCAGAAGUUUCUGAAAGAUGCUCCAAAGUAGCCCUCCCCCAAAUUAUAUAUCCCUAAAAGUGCUUUAACACCCAAACUUACCUGUAAGCCCAACACUGAGGAAGCAGAAGCAAGAUCAGAAGUUCCAGAUCAGAUUGUAUUACAUGAGACACUCAAAAUGAGACGAAAUAAGCAAAACACUACCACUAACAACAACAGAAACAACCUAUGACCUAGGUCUGAAUGUUGGUUUUUCUUUUGGCUUAGAACACCCUAUGAAGACCAGGCUAGCCUCACUGGAGAUCCACCUGCCUCUGUCUCUUGGGUAUUGGGAUUAAAAGGAAGCCCAUCUUACCCAGCCUCUCUGGACAUUUUCAUAUACAGUAUUUUGGUAAACUUUUUUCCAUUCAAAGGGUAAGUUGUUUACAGUAUAAUUGUUAAAAUUUAACAUUUGGUAUAUAUUGCUAAAUAGCUGCUCCUGAUAGUUCUGUCAUUUGAGACUUCCCAGCAGGUCUGUGAUCCUUGACAGCCUUGGCCAUCACAUGUGGCAUUUCCAACAAUUUAAAAACAAAGCCUCUUU